rnacentral:tRNA from 1 species
GAAUUGAAAGCUAAAAUCAUAAGCAGCGACCUUGUAAGUCGAAGAUAGAGAACCUCUCAAUUCU